UGGAGGAAGCUCGGCAAGGAAAUCAUUUUACACCUAACAGUGCAAAGCUAUGUUAACAGGUGACAAGAAAUUAAGUUAAAUGGCUGCAUUAGAUUGUAAAAAGAAUGUCUUUUUGUUUCGCAUAAUUGUCAAUGAGCAUGUCUUUUGAACGCGACUUUACCCUUUUCGUUUGAUAGCUAAAAAAGCUUAGUCAUUUCACCGUUUGGUUUGAAUAUAUGAACUACGCAAGCAAGUGUGUCCGGACCUUGGCUGUUCAACUGCGAAAACUACAAACUCUAAACAUGUCUUCUGCUGUGCAUGAAAAUGUGAAGAAUUAUUAUGGCUCUCGCCUGGAGACGUCAGAAGACUUGCAGACCAAUGCUGCGUGUGUCAUGCCCUCCAGACCGCUGGCCAAAAGCGCAUGUGAAGCCUUAAGACAAGUUCAUCCAGAUGUCUGCAAGAGGUAUUUUGGUUGUGGUUUGGUGAUUCCAGAGAAGCUGGAAGGAUGUAAAGUUCUUGAUCUGGGCAGUGGAUCAGGUAGAGACUGCUAUGUCCUCAGCAAACUGGUGGGAGAGAGGGGUCAAGUCGCUGGACUGGAUAUGACGGAUGAGAUGAUAGUUGCCUCACAACAAUACGCCCAGUACCAUCAGGAGAAAUUUGGCUACUCUAAAGCAAACACCGUGUUUGUGAAAGGAUACAUGGAGAAGCUCAGUGAGGCGGGGAUACAGAGCAACUCUUUGGAUGUAGUUGUGUCAAAUUGUGUAAUAUGUCUGUGCCCAGAUAAGAAAAUUGUGAUUAAAGAAGCGUACAAAGUUCUUAAGGAGGGUGGAGAGUUGUAUUACAGUGACAUGUAUGCAAGCAAAGUCGUUCCAGAUUCUUUCAAGGAAGAUCCAGUUCUGUGGGGUGAAGGAAUGGCUGGCGCCCUCUACUGGCAGGACCUCAUCACUCUGAUGAAAGAGACAGGUUUUAGCACUCCCCACCUGGUCGCAGGUAGUCACAUUGUGGUUCACAACCCAGAACUUCAACAAAAGACUGGUGAUGUUAAAUAUUCGUCUGGAACUUACCGGAUCUUUAAAUUGCCUCAACUUUCCAUCACAACCAAAGCACUUGUCACAUAUAAAGGCACCGUGCCUGACUGCGCGGACUGUUUUGAGUUUGAUGCAUCUCAUUCUUUCAAGACAAAUGUUCCCGUGCAGGUGGGUGCAGAGAUGGCCGCGAUCCUCCAGCACACACGUUUCUCUACAGACUUCAGUAUCAUGAUGUUAGACAUCCCUGACCCAAACUUGAGUGGCAACCCACAGUAUUGCCACCUCAGCCCCUUCCUCCUGGCAGAUAGACUGGGUUUAUCAGUGAAGCAGUGCUCAAAGACAGGACACUGAGGCAGCCUGCGGCGUUUGAGCGAAGCUCCUCAGACAUAGAAGAGCUGAAAGGUCAGUGAGUUCCUCGCUGCCACAGCGACUGCCAAGUACAGCCAGACACACUCUAUUAGAUGCAUAAUAAAACUGUUGAAACUCUCUCGCCGUUUCUCCCUUCUCACACACUCACUAUUGCAUGAUCCAAAUGUAAAACAAAUUCUUUCAUUACUAUCCAAAAUGUCUUUUUUUGUCAAAUAAAGUAUACAAAGCAAUCAACUUGUUCUGUUUUUCUUUUUUGAAGUACUGCUGAUUUGAAACUUAUCCACUGCAAUGAAUAUUUGUAGUCAAAGUGGCCCUUGCUUUUGUAAGAAUGACAAUGUCGAAGAUGUACAAAGUACACAUUGUACGCUUGAUCUGUUUUGGAUCGUGGAUGCAGAAACGUGUUUCUUCCAGCUAAAGGCAGAGAAUGAGAUCGGAAUCCUAAAAGGACGAAUUAGAGGGACGGCGGGUCAUGGAGUUCGGAAUGGCGUAGAAGCCCCGUGCUUACCUGACACAGAAAAUACCUGCUGCACAAUCCCUAUUGUUUGCUUGUCAGGGGCACACGAAGAAUAGCUCUUUUGAUGUUUUCCCGAGUGUUAAAGCUUUAUUAUGAUGUCCACUGAACAUUAAUGAGGCAGACUAUAAAAAAAGCAGCGUUUCUCUUAUGGUAUAUAUUUGGCAGACGGGCUCAGACACAGCCACGGGCCUGCAACACAUAUUAUCAUGAGCCUCGAUUGUGAAUUCAUUAGUCACUCCAGUUUUUUUCUGCCGGCUCUGUAUGCGUCAGAUUUGCGUCAGGCACAAACCCCACAACUGUGAGACCUAAGCCUAUACGCAUGUAAUGCCCUGAGACAGCCAAGUCAAACAUUCUUUGAAGUUGAGUGUUACACAGAGAUAUUAAGCAAUCUACCACAUAAACAUAAGUCUUUGUACUCUGCAAAGCAUCAGAAAUGUUCACGGAAACUCUGACAAAUGCAUUUAACAACAUUACAUUGAUACUGCAAUUUAUGCUACUUACUACCUCAUGAGAAAAUUAUGAACCCCAUAUAAUGUGCUUGUUUUAAAGAAACAUAAAACAGUAAGGACACUUAUUUUUCAAAUAAUUGAAACGUACGUUUCAAAGCAGAAUGUAGCUAAUACAUAUUGGAGGGAGUCAUGUUUUGAAGCUGUUCUGUUUUAAAGGGGUGGAGAGAUGACAUACUGUACCUCUCUCCCUUCACCAGGCCCCUGUCUAAUUAUACAUUCCAGUGAGAGAUCUCCACUCAUAUGACCUGUUCCCUACAUGCACAAAAUCAUAUGUUUAUCCAACUGUAAGUCAGCCCAGAAAGAUCCAAAUAAGAGGAAAAUGAUAUACAGUACCACUUAUAUGAUAUGUAUCUGUGAUCAUAAUGUAUUUUAAACCACAGAGCAUGAGCACCUUUGAGUGCUGUAAGUGACUUGCCAAAACCCCAAAGCAGAGGUCCAAACCCUUUACCUGGUCCAUAAGAGCAUUUGGCUUUGUAGGACGCAAAGCAAACAAUUUGCAAACAUUCCUACCUUUCAUCCAAAAGCGCUGAUGAUGUGCCCGGUGCUGCCUGCCAGCAUUCAGUAUUUUACGCGUUUCUGGUGUAAAUACAACAGGAAAUGUAAGUGCUGAUGCAAGGUUGUUUUUGUUCAUUGCUCAAGUGUUUACACAUGUUCUGAAGUUCACAUCUAUUUAUUUUUAGAGCCUUGGAGGAGCAGGCGUAUGCAUGUCAAAUAAACCAUGAGAGAUUCUGUGAAGAAAUAACAGCUGUCUGAAAUGAAUUACCUGCCUCUUUUGUCUUUGAAAACGGGUAACACUUUACAAUAAGGUGAUAUACAUUAACAUUAGUUAACACGGUAGGAAAGACCAACUAAAAUGAAUUAAUGGUAGUUAGUGUUAAUUUCUGGAUGUACUACUACUAACAGCCUACGCUUUUAAGAAAAAAAUCUGCAUUAAGGCAAUAUACCUUUAUGAUUGCUGUAAAGUCUUGCUCAAAAUGUUAAAUAUAUGUCAUUCACAUAACAUGUGUCUUAGGUCUUAUUACUUUUUAUUCUGGUAUAAACUGAUGUUCUAAGGUUAGGCUACUACUCACCUAGUUACUAUUUUCACGAUUAUGCAGCUCCAGUUCACUCCUGGCAGAAUGAGUCCUGAGGAUGGCGCUGUAAUGAACGACCAGUACAAAACAGUGGUCAAUUAUCUACCGGUCUUGGAACUACAGAAAGUGUGCACUCCGUCACUGAAGAUAGACCUUUCUCCACCAGAAACCAGAUCUGCAUGGCAAAGGUUCAGAGCUGCGUUACAUUAAUUUGAACUGAUCCGGUUCUCAGCAUGAGCUCCACCAGCUGCCACAGGGAUGCUCGCUGUAUGUAUUUUCUUUUCCCUAACCACUGUUUUAUUAUGUCUUGAUUUAAGAUGAGCAGAACAUGUCUCCGUGGCUCAAUGAUGUAAAUGGUAACACUUUAGAAUUUGAUUGUAUUUGUUAACAUUACUGAAUGCAUUAACAACAAACUAACAAUGAGCACUAAAAAAAACAUUACCAUUUUGAUUUUCACCACGGGGGACUUUAAAGGGAUAGUUGAAAAAAAAUGAAAAUUCUCUCAUGAAUUACUCACCCUCUAGUUGUUCCAAACCUGUAUAAAUGUCUUUGUUUGGUUGAACACAAAGAAAUAUAUUUGGAAGAAUGUUAGCAACUGAGAUUUCUAUGGCACCAUUGACUUCCACAGUAGGAUCUUUUUUCAAAAUGAGACAUUUUGAAGAAUUUAGAUAAGCAAACAGCUCUAGGGCACCUUUGACUACCAUUUAAAAUGUUCCUACUAUGGUGGUCAAUGUUGUCCUAGAAAUAUCAGUUGCUAACAUUUUUCCAAAUAUCUUUCUUUGUGUUCUAUACAGGUUUGAAAGAACUUGAGGUUGAGUAAUUCAUGACAGAAUUUUCAUUUUUGGGGGAACUAUCCCUUUAAGAUUGUUGGAUCCUA